CAGAGAUCUAGGGGAAAGUUCAUAAGGGAGGCAGAGGGUGAGUUAUCGCUUCCUCUUCAGUCUGGACUGUUACAGCCAUCUUGAGCUAUCGUGGAAGGGUAGUUCAUAAUCAGGGAACACAAAAGAUGUUAUGGGUCUCAUGGGGCCAAGCUGGAUCCGCAGAAGUAUAACAGAUAUGAGAGAAUUCCUUCUUCAUCACUGCAUUCCCCAAGAAGAUAAGAGAGUGCUCCUUGUGACCUACUUCCUCAAGCAUGGUUGCAGUGCUUGGGACCAGCUGUUAGCACAAGACUAUUACACAAAAAGCUAUUAG
rnacentral:lncRNA from 1 species